UGACGGUACUUGACUAAGAAGCCCCGGCUAACUACGUGCCAGCAGCCGCGGUAAUACGUAGGGGGCAAGCGUUAUCCGGAUUUACUGGGUGUAAAGGGAGCGUAGGCGGCCAUGCAAGUCAGAAGUGAAAACCCGGGGCUCAACUCCGCGGACUGCUUUUGAAACUGUAAGGCUGGAUUUCUGGAGAGGUAAGCGGAAUUCCUAGUGUAGCGGUGAAAUGCGUAGAUAUUAGGAGGAACACCGGUGGCGAAGGCGGCUUACUGGACGGCAACUGACGUUGAGGCUCGAAGGCGUGGGGAGCAAACAGGAUUAGAUACCCUG
rnacentral:rRNA from 1 species